UCUGCGAAGACAGGGGCUGCGGCAAUCUUUAAUCUCCGCGUCUUACUAGCAGGCUGAGGAACAAGUCUCCGGAGCCCCGCCCCUCCCCGCGGAAGGCAGGGCAGGUGUCAGCAGCCUGCAGGAAGCGCUUUGAAGGUUCAGAGGGGAUGGAGACUCCUCGUGAAGGGAGGAGGCUGCUCUGAGGAUGGAAGGACCGACAGCGUGGCCGUCGGGACUCAGCUCCGUGGCUUCUCCUGGUCUGGUCUGUUCCAGACAGUGGUCACCUACACCUUGCCAGGCACAUUAUGGAAGAUUGGCUCUGAAAUCGUUAGAGCCCGGUUGUCCUGCUGGGACAGUUUCCUGCCCGUGGGAACGGCUGCAGCAGCACCACCCGUGCUCGGGCCAUGUCCUGGCCUCGGACCUCUCACCUCCCGCUGCUCUGUCUGCCCUCGGCCACGGCCUGGUGUUGGCGAAGGAUUUUGGAUUUUGGAUGCAUGGAUUUUGGAUGCAUCGUGAGGUCCCCACAGGACAAGAGGGAUAGGCCGUGAAUGCUAGUCACCAGUCAGAGCCCAUGGCAGGUGGAGACACUCUGUCCACCCUGCAGUUCUUCCUGUCUCCGGAAUCCGUUGACCUGUUUCCCUAUGUGUGUAAUGGAACCUCACAGGAAAUUCAUUACUUUGAAGGAUUGAAAAUCAAAUGACUUAAAUGUCUACAUUAAAACCUCCCUACUUCUUAGGGAGCUUCUUUAACCCUAAAAGUGCUCUGGGAAUCCCGGCGUGCCAAGACGGUGUGUCCCUGCGAGAGCUGACGG